rnacentral:rRNA from 1 species
UGGGGGAUAUUGCACAAUGGGGGAAACCCUGAUGCAGCAACGCCGCGUGAGGGAAGAAGGUUUUCGGAUUGUAAACCUCUGUUCUUAGUGACGAUAAUGACGGUAGCUAAGGAGAAAGCUCCGGCUAACUACGUGCCAGCAGCCGCGGUAAUACGUAGGGAGCGAGCGUUGUCCGGAUUUACUGGGUGUAAAGGGUGCGUAGGCGGCGAGGCAAGUCAGGCGUGAAAUCUAUGGGCUUAACCCAUAAACUGCGCUUGAAACUGUCUUGCUUGAGUGAAGUAGAGGUAGGCGGAAUUCCCGGUGUAGCGGUGAAAUGCGUAGAGAUCGGGAGGAACACCAGUGGCGAAGGCGGCCUACUGGGCUUUAACUGACGCUGAAGCACGAAAGCAUGGGUAGCAAACAGG